GAUAUGACAUCUUCUUUUUUUCCCAGGUAAAAUGUGAGGCUAAGUCAGCUUUGCCCAAACCCAAGAGUAACAACAGCAACUGUAAAAAAGGCUCAAGUGAGGAUAAAUCAAAGAUUGCCGUAGGUGAAGAAUGCAGAGCUGAUGAGCAGGCUUUCCUUGUGGCACUUUAUAAAUAUAUGAAAGAAAGGAAAACACCAAUUGAACGAAUACCCUAUUUAGGUUUUAAGCAGAUUAACCUUUGGACUAUGUUUCAAGCUGCUCAAAAACUGGGAGGAUAUGAAACAGUAAGUGUUUAAGUAACUUAAAUGAAAUAAUUGUGCAAUCUGACUUUUCCCUGUUAGGAUUA